CGGGACAGGUGAGUAAUGUCUGGGAAACUGCCUGAUGGAGGGGGAUAACUACUGGAAACGGUAGCUAAUACCGCAUAACGUCGCAAGACCAAAGAGGGGGACCUUAGGGCCUCUUGCCAUCGGAUGUGCCCAGAUGGGAUUAGCUAGUAGGUGGGGUAACGGCUCACCUAGGCGACGAUCCCUAGCUGGUCUGAGAGGAUGACCAGCCACACUGGAACUGAGACACGGUCCAG
rnacentral:rRNA from 1 species